CCUACGGGAGGCAGCAGUGGGGAAUCUUGGACAAUGGGCGCAAGCCUGAUCCAGCAAUGCCGCGUGGGUGAAGAAGGCCUUCGGGUUGUAAAGCCCUUUCGGCGGGGAAGAAAUCGGUCAGGCGAAUAGUCUGGCUGGAUGACGGUACCCGCAGAAGAAGCACCGGCUAACUACGUGCCAGCAGCCGCGGUAAU
rnacentral:rRNA from 1 species